AACCCCUAGCAGAUCAUUUCUUCUUCCUCUUUCUUUUCUUUUUUCUCCCCACCAUCUUCUCCUGCGGCUGCGCCUCCUCACCACCUCCAUCAUUUCUCCGGUUGUUGAUUAAGUUUCAGCUGCUGCUAAGUUUCUUUUCUUGUUGCUUGAGUUAAUUGAUGAGAAGAGAAUAUUUCUUUUAUUCUUUCUCGUCUGUUGCUGAAGAAGAGCUGCGAUUGAUUCAAUGAUUCAUCGGAUAUAGAUCUAGUGACUGUAAUCGAAGUUGAGAUGGAUUUGUUGCUGGUUUUUGGUUCGAUCUAGUGGUGGUGUUAUUCAAUUCUUGGAUAUGGAGAAACGAAUGGGUCUUUUCAUUCAUGUGCAUAUGUCAUGCAGAACCAAGUGCAUGUUAAGCAAGUGUGUUUAACCAAGUUAAAGAGAAUAUAAAUCAGGUGAUUGUUCGAUAGAAGGUAGAAAAGUUGUUGAGCGAAGACAAGAAGAAGAUCAAAUUAAUAAUCAAUUUCUAAUGGUCCCAGUUAUUAAGCUAUAUGGGUUUGUCUGUUUUGUAAGUUCAGAUUCCUUUUCUUUCAACAUAAAAUUGAAUUUGUAAUCUAAAAUUUCUAAUUGUGGUGAUGUUUUUCUGUGGUGAUUAAGCUAUGGGUGGUGAUGUUUUCGAGAACUUUUAUUCGUUAAAAUUAAGCUUUAAUUUUGUUUUUAAUUAAAAAUUAAGCUUUAAUUUUGUUUUAA